rnacentral:rRNA from 1 species
CCAGACUCCUACGGGAGGCAGCAGUAGGGAAUCUUCGGCAAUGGACGAAAGUCUGACCGAGCAACGCCGCGUGAGUGAAGAAGGUUUUCGGAUCGUAAGACUCUGUUGGUAGAGAAGAACGUUGGUGAGAGUGGAAAGCUCAUCAAGUGACGGUAACUACCCAGAAAGGGACGGCUAACUACGUGCCAGCAGCCGCGGUAAUACGUAGGUCCCGAGCGUUGUCCGGAUUUAUUGGGCGUAAAGCGAGCGCAGGUGGUUUAUUAAGUCUGGUGUAAAAGGCAGUGGCUCAACCAUUGUAUGCAUUGGAAACUGGUAGACUUGAGUGCAGGAGAGGAGAGUGGAAUUCCAUGUGUAGCGGUGAAGUGCGUAGAUAUAUGGAGGAACACCGGUGGCGAAAGCGGCUCUCUGGCCUGUAACUGACACUGAGGCUCGAAAGCGUGGGGAGCAAACAGGAUUAGAUACCCUGGUGGUCCACGCCGUAAACGAUGAGUGCUAGAUGUAUGGAGCUAUAAGUUCUCUG